AUUGAACGCUGGCGGAAUGCUUUACACAUGCAAGUCGAACGGUAGAGGGGGCAACCCCUCGAGAGUGGCGAACGGGUGAGUAAUAUAUCGGAACGUGCCCAGUCGCGGGGGAUAACGUAGCGAAAGUUACGCUAAUACCGCAUACGAUCUAAGGAUGAAAGCGGGGGAUCGCAAGACCUCACGCGAUUGGAGCGGCCGAUAUCAGAUUAGGUAGUUGGUGGGGUAAAGGCUCACCAAGCCAACGAUCUGUAGCUGGUCUGAGAGGACGACCAGCCACACUGGAACUGAGACACGGUCCAGACUCCUACGGGAGGCAGCAGUGGGGAAUUUUGGACAAUGGACGCAAGUCUGAUCCAGCCAUUCCGCGUGCAGGAUGAAGGCCCUCGGGUUGUAAACUGCUUUUGUACGGAACGAAAAGGUCUCUCUUAAUACGGGGGACUCAUGACGGUACCGUAAGAAUAAGCACCGGCUAACUACGUGCCAGCCGCCGCAGUAA
rnacentral:rRNA from 1 species